AGUUUGAUCCUGGCUCACAUUGAACGCUGGCGGCAUGCCUUACACAUGCAAGUCGAACGGUAACAGGUCUUCGGAUGCUGACGAGUGGCGAACGGGUGAGUAAUAUAUCGGAACGUGCCCAGUCGUGGGGGAUAACGCAGCGAAAGCUGUGCUAAUACCGCAUACGAUCUACGGAUGAAAGCGGGGGAUCGCAAGACCUCGCGCGAUUGGAGUGGCCGAUAUCAGGUUAGCUAGUUGGUGGGGUAAAAGCUCACCAAGGCGACGAUCUGUAGCUGGUCUGAGAGGACGACCAGCCACACUGGAACUGAGACACGGCCCAAACUCCUACGGGAGGCAGCAGUAGGGAAUCUUCGGCAAUGGACGAAAGUCUGACCGAGCAACGCCGCGUGAGUGAAGAAGGUUUUCGGAUCGUAAAACUCUGUUGUUAGAGAAGAACGUUGCAUAGAGUGGAAAAUUAUGCAAGUGACGGUAUCUAACCAGAAAGGGACGGCUAACUACGUGCCAGCAGCCGCGGUAAUACGUAGGUCCCGAGCGUUGUCCGGAUUUAUUGGGCGUAAAGCGAGCGCAGGUGGUUUAAUAAGUCUGAUGUAAAAGGCAGUGGCUCAACCAUUGUGUGCAUUGGAAACUGUUAGACUUGAGUGCAGUAGAGGAGAGUGGAAUUCCAUGUGUAGCGGUGAAAUGCGUAGAUAUAUGGAGGAACACCGGUGGCGAAAGCGGCUCUCUGGACUGUCACUGACACUGAGGCUCGAAAGCGUGGGUAGCAAACAGGAUUAGAUACCCUGGUAGUCCAAUCCCGCGAACCAUGGCGG
rnacentral:rRNA from 1 species